rnacentral:tRNA from 1 species
AGUAAGGUGGCUGAAUACUAAGCGGAAAACUGUAAAUUUUCAUAUGAGGAUCUCUCCUCUCUUACUA